rnacentral:rRNA from 1 species
UACGAAGGGGGCUAGCGUUGCUCGGAAUCACUGGGCGUAAAGCGCACGUAGGCGGAUUGUUAAGUCAGGGGUGAAAUCCUGGAGCUCAACUCCAGAACUGCCUUUGAUACUGGCGAUCUCGAGUCCGGGAGAGGUGAGUGGAACUGCGAGUGUAGAGGUGAAAUUCGUAGAUAUUCGCAAGAACGACCAGUGGCGAAGGCGGACUCGAC